AUACGUAGGGGGCGAGCGUUGUCCGGAAUGAUUGGGCGUAAAGGGCGCGUAGGCGGCUUUGCAAGUCAGUAGUGGAAGUCCAUUUUUCAAGGAUGGAAGUGCUACAGAAACUGCGGAGCUUGAGUGCAGGAGAGGUUAUCGGAAUUCCCGGUGUAGCGGUGAAAUGCGUAGAGAUCGGGAGGAACACCAGUGGCGAAGGCGGGUAACUGGACUGCAACUGACGCUGAGGCGCGAAAGUGUGGGGAGCAAACAGGAUUAGAUACCCUGGUAGUCCACACUGUAAACGAUGAAUGCUAGGUGUAGGAGGUAUCGACUCCUCCUGUGCCGCAGCUAACGCAAUAAGUAUUCCACCUGGGGAGUACGGCCGCAAGGUUGAAACUCAAAGGAAUUGACGGGG
rnacentral:rRNA from 1 species